GCCAGUGUGGUAUAAUGGUUUGAGUGUUAGACUACGAGUCUGAAGACCAGGAUUCAAAUCCCCGCUUAGCCA